AAUGAUAAAGUCAUCUGUACCUGC
rnacentral:piRNA from 1 species